rnacentral:rRNA from 1 species
AACGAACGCUGGCGGCAUGCCUAACACAUGCAAGUCGAACGAUCCCUUCGGGGAUAGUGGCGCACGGGUGCGUAACGCGUGGGAACCUGCCCUUAGGUUCGGAAUAACUCAGAGAAAUUUGAGCUAAUACCGGAUAAUGUCUUCGGACCAAAGAUUUAUCGCCUUUGGAUGGGCCCGCGUUGGAUUAGCUAGUUGGUGGGGUAAAGGCCUACCAAGGCGACGAUCCAUAGCUGGUCUGAGAGGAUGAUCAGCCACACUGGGACUGAGACGCGGCCCAGACUCCUACGGGAGGCAGCAGUGGGGAAUAUUGGACAAUGGGCGAAAGCCUGAUCCAGCAAUGCCGCGUGAGUGAUGAAGGCCUUAGGGUUGUAAAGCUCUUUUACCCGGGAUGAUAAUGACAGUACCGGGAGAAUAAGCCCCGGCUAACUCCGUG